ACCAAACAUCCCCAAAUGGAAACAUUUUAUAGGUCUACAUUUGCAUGCAGGCCAGGUAGACUAGUCCUACUUCUAUAUGGUAAUCAGGCCAGGUAGACUAGUCCUACUUCUAUAUGGUAAUCAGGCCAGGUAGACUAGUCCUACUUCUAUAUGGUAAUCAGGCCAGGUAGACUAGUCCUACUUCUAUAUGGUAAUCAGGCCAGGUAGACUAGUCCUACUUCUAUAUGGUAAUCAGGCCAGGUAGACUAGUCCUACUUCUAUAUGGUAAUCAGGCCAGGUAGACUAGUCCUACUUCUAUAUGGUAAUCAGGCCAGGUAGACUAGUCCUACUUCUAUAUGGUAAUCAGGCCAGGUAGACUAGUCCUACUUCUAUAUGGUAAUCAGGCCAGGUAGACUAGUCCUACUUCUAUAUGGUAAUCAGGCCAGGUAGACUAGUCCUACUUCUAUAUGGUAAUCAGGCCAGGUAGACUAGUCCUACUUCUAUAUGGUAAUCAGGCCAGGUAGACUAGUCCUACUUCUAUAUGGUAAUCAGGCCAGGUAGACUAGUCCUACUUCUAUAUGGUAAUCAGGCCAGGUAGACUAGUCCUACUUCUAUAUGGUAAUCAGGCCAGGUAGACUAGUCCUACUUCUAUAUGGUAAUCAGGCCAGGUAGACUAGUCCUACUUCUAUAUGGUAAUCAGGCCAGGUAGACUAGUCCUACUUCUAUAUGGUAAUCAGGCCAGGUAGACUAGUCCUACUUCUAUAUGGUAAUCAGGCCAGGUAGACUAGUCCUACUUCUAUAUGGUAAUCAGGCCAGGUAGACUAGUCCUACUUCUAUAUGGUAAUCAGGCCAGGUAGACUAGUCCUACUUCUAUAUGGUAAUCAGGCCAGGUAGACUAGUCCUACUUCUAUAUGGUAAUCAGGCCAGGUAGACUAGUCCUACUUCUAUAUGGUAAUCAGGCCAGGUAGACUAGUCCUACUUCUAUAUGGUAAUCAGGCCAGGUAGACUAGUCCUACUUCUAUAUGGUAAUCAGGCCAGGUAGACUAGUCCUACUUCUAUAUGGUAAUCAGGCCAGGUAGACUAGUCCUACUUCUAUAUGGUAAUCAGGCCAGGUAGACUAGUCCUACUUCUAUAUGGUAAUCAGGCCAGGUAGACUAGUCCUACUUCUAUAUGGUAAUCAGGCCAGGUAGACUAGUCCUACUUCUAUAUGGUAAUCAGGCCAGGUAGACUAGUCCUACUUCUAUAUGGUAAUCAGGCCAGGUAGACUAGUCCUACUUCUAUAUGGUAAUCAGGCCAGGUAGACUAGUCCUACUUCUAUAUGGUAAUCAGGCCAGGUAGA